rnacentral:rRNA from 1 species
UCCUACGGGAGGCAGCAGUGGGGAAUAUUGCACAAUGGGCGCAAGCCUGAUGCAGCGACGCCGCGUGGGGGAUGACGGCCUUCGGGUUGUAAACUCCUUUCGCUAGGGACGAAGCUUAUUCUGUGACGGUACCUGGAGAAUAAGCACCGGCUAACUACGUGCCAGCAGCCGCGGUAAUACGUAGGGUGCGAGCGUUGUCCGGAAUUACUGGGCGUAAAGAGCUCGUAGGUGGUUUGUCGCGUCGUUUGUGUAAGCCCGCAGCUUAACUGCGGGACUGCAGGCGAUACGGGCAUAACUUGAGUGCUGUAGGGGAGACUGGAAUUCCUGGUGUAGCGGUGGAAUGCGCAGAUAUCAGGAGGAACACCGAUGGCGAAGGCAGGUCUCUGGGCAGUAACUGACGCUGAGGAGCGAAAGCAUGGGGAGCGAACAGGAUUAGAUACCCUGGUAGUCCAUGCCGUAAACGGUGGGCGCUAGGUGUGAGUCCCUUCCACGGGGUUCGUGCCGUAGCUAACGCAUUAAGCGCCCCGCCUGGGGAGUACGGCCGCAAGGCUAAAACUCAAAGGAAUUGACGGGGGCCCGCACAAGCGGCGGAGCAUGUGGAUUAAUUCGAUGCAACGCGAAGAACCUUACCUGGGCUUGACAUACACCAGAUAGGGCCAGAGAUGGUCUUUCCCUUUGUGGUUGGUGUACAGGUGGUGCAUGGUUGUCGUCAGCUCGUGUCGUGAGAUGUUGGGUUAAGUCCCGCAACGAGCGCAACCCUUGUCUUAUGUUGCCAGCACGUUAUGGUGGGGACUCGUGAGAGACUGCCGGGGUUAACUCGGAGGAAGGCGGGGAUGACGUCAAAUCAUCAUGCCCCUUAUGUCCAGGGCUUCACACAUGCUACAAUGGUCGGUACAACGCGCAUGCGAGCCUGUGAGGGUGAGCGAAUCGCUGUCAAAGCCGGUCGUAGUUCGGAUUGGGGUCUGCAACUCGACCCCAUGAAGUCGGAGUCGCUAGUAAUCGCAGAUCAGCAACGCUGCGGUGAAUACGUUCCCGGGCCUUGUACACACCGC